rnacentral:Y_RNA from 1 species
AGCUGGUCAGAUGGUAGUGGGUUAUGGUUAUCAGAACUUAUUAACAUUAGUGUCACUGAAGUUGGCAUUCAAUCCCCCCACUGCUAAAUUUGACUGGCUUUUA